rnacentral:rRNA from 1 species
UACGAAGGGGGCUAGCGUUGCUCGGAAUCACUGGGCGUAAAGCGCACGUAGGCGGACUCUUAAGUCGGUGGUGAAAUCCUGGAGCUCAACUCCAGAACUGCCUUCGAUACUGAGAGUCUCGAGUCCGGGAGAGGUGAGUGGAACUGCGAGUGUAGAGGUGAAAUUCGUAGAUAUUCGCAAGAACACCAGUGGCGAAGGCGGCUCACUGGCCCGGUACUGACGCUGAGGUGGCGAAAGCGUGGGGAGCCAAACAGGG